UCUGCGUGUGUGUGUGUGUGUGUGUGUGUAUAUAUAUAUAUAUAUAUAUAUACGUACACACACACACACUCACAGACA